rnacentral:rRNA from 1 species
GACAUAGGUGGCGAACGUUAUCCGGAAUUAUUGGGCGUAAAGGGUGCGUAGACGGUUUGGUAAGUUAGCAGUGGGAAAUCGAGGCCCAACCUCGUGGAAGUUGUUAAUACUGCCAUACUCGAGUGCAGGAAAGGUUGACGGAACUCAAUGUGGAGCGGUAAAAUGCGUUAGAUAUAUUGAAGAACACCAAUAACAGCGAAGGCAGUUAACUGUUCUGUUACUGACGUUGAGGCACGAAAGCGUGGGGAGCAAAAAGG